rnacentral:rRNA from 1 species
AUUGAACGCUGGCGGCAGGCCUAACACAUGCACGUCGAGCGGAGCGGCGGACGGGUGAGUAAUGCCUAGGAAUCUGCCUGGUAGAGAGGGCUAACGUCCGGAAACGGGCGCUAAUACCGCAUACCAUGAGAUGAGCCUAGGGCGGUUUAGCUAGUCGGUGGGGUAAAGGCCUACAAAGGCUACGAUCCGUAACUGGUCUGAGAGGAGGAUCAGUCACACUGGAACUGAGACACGGUCCAGACUCCUACGGUAGGCAGAAGUGGGGAAUAUUGGACAAUGGGCGAAAGCCUGAUCCAGCCAUGCCGCGUGUGUGAAGAAGGUCUUCGGAUUGUAAAGCACUUUAAGUUGGGAGGCGUUACCAACAGAAUAAGCACCGGCUAACUUCGUGCCAGCAGCCGCGGUAAUAC